rnacentral:ribozyme from 1 species
UUCUGAGGGGACUGUGUCCUCUAGGCAUUUGUAGACAAGAGGGAAACAAUAAGCACGCUAGCCAUUAUUCUUAAUAAUAUUGGUUAUAUUGAUAGA